rnacentral:rRNA from 1 species
AGCGAACGCUGGCGGCAGGCUUAACACAUGCAAGUCGAACGGGCACUUCGGUGCUAGUGGCAGACGGGUGAGUAACGCGUGGGAACGUGCCUUUCGGUUCGGAAUAAUCCAGGGAAACUUGGACUAAUACCGGAUACGCCCUUCGGGGGAAAGAUUUAUCGCCGAAAGAUCGGCCCGCGUCUGAUUAGCUAGUGGGUGAGGUAAAGGCGCACCAAGGCAACGAUCAGUAGCUGGUCUGAGAGGAUGAUCAGCCACUUUGGGACUGAGACACGGCCCAAACUCCUACGGGAGGCAGCAGUGGGGAAUAUUGGAAAAGGGGCGCAAGCCUGAUCCAGUCAUGCCGCGUGAGUGAUGAAGGCCUUAGGGUUGUAAUGCUCUUUUGUCCGGGAAGAUAUUGACUGUACCGGAAGAAUAAGCCCCGGCUAACUUCGUGCCAGCCGCCGCAGUAAGAC